AGCAGCCGCGGUAAUUCCAGCUCCAAUAGCGUAUAUUAAAGUUGCUGCAGUUAAAAAGCUCGUAGUUGAAUUUCGGGGUUUAUCCGUUGGUCGGGCUUUUUGGUCUGUACUGGCGUGAUGGAUUCCUACCUUCUGAAUAACCGGCAUGCCAUUAAUUUGGUGCGCCGGGGAAGCAGGACUGUUACCUUGAAAAAAUUAGAGUGCUUAAAGCAGGCUUAUGCCUGAAUACAUUAGCAUGGAAUAAUGAAAUAGGACGUUUGAUUCUAUUUUGUUGGUUUCUAGGAUUGACGUAAUGAUUAAUAGGGAUAGUUGGGGGCAUUAGUAUUCAAUUGUCAGAGGUGAAAUUCUUGGAUUUAUUGAAGACUAACUACUGCGAAAGCAUUUGCCAAGGAUGUUUUCAUUAAUCAAGAACGAAAGUUAGGGGAUCGAAGACGAUCAGAUACCGUCGUAGUCUUAACCAUAAACUAUGCCGACUAGGGAUCGGAUGAUGUUAAUUUUUUAAUGACUCAUUCGGCGCCUU
rnacentral:rRNA from 1 species